rnacentral:rRNA from 1 species
GCAAACGGGUGCGGAACUACGUACGCAACCUUCCCAUAACUGGUGAAUAGCCCUCCGAAAGGAGGAUUAAUACACCGUAACAUAAUGAGGUGGCAUCACUUUAUUAUUAUAGCUCCGGCGGUUUUGGAUGGGCGUGCGCCUGAUUAGGUAGUUGCGGGGUAACGGCCCACCAAGCCUGCGAUCAGUAACUGGUGUGAGAGCACGACCAGUCACACGGGCACUGAGACACGGGCCCGACUCCUACGGGAGGCAGCAGUAAGGAAUAUUGGUCAAAUGGACGCAAGUCUGAACCAGCCAUGCCGCGUGAAGGAUGAAGCCCUCUGGGUUGUAAACUUCUUUUAUCUGGGACGAAAAAAGAUCAUUGCCUGAUCACUGACGGUACCAGAGGAAUAAGCACCGGCUAACUCCGUGCCAGC